GAUGUUGCCCUCAAACUGCUCCGCCUGGUCCAGGGCGCGUGGGAAGCCGUCGAUGAGGAAGAACUUGCCGCCACUCUCAAUCAUGGCCUUUUUCAGCAGGUUCAGCGUCACGGCGAAAGGCACCAGCUUGCCUUCGCGCAUCAGCUCCUCGCACUUCUUGCCCACGACGCUGCCGCUCUUGACCUCGGCACGAAGCAGAUCACCAGCGCUGAGGUGUACGCAUUUAUAGUCCUGCUUGAUCUUGUCGCACUGCGUGCCCUUGCCGCUACCCGGCCCACCAAGCACAAAGAUAAUUUGAGCAUCCUCCGGCAAGCUGCCCUUCACAGGCGGUAGGACAAUUUCCUGCAAUUACCAAAGCACAUGACGCAUUCAUUCUAUGUCUGACUGUAGCAUUGCGCAAAAGCGAAACCGAGAAGCACAUCACUCAGUUCCCCUGUUUGCGGGGUAUGUGCAUUUGGCGCGGACACGGAAAGAUUAUGAAAGCUGUGUUCCGUAUCACUGUCACCAAAGCAUGACCUGCGCCAUUGCACGCACUGCUGUCACAUGUCACCAUCCAAAUAAAAAUGAGGCAUUAGGCCCAGUGCUCAAUUCCAGCAUGAACCCUAACACGUUGGACAAUGGCAGAGUGUGGCGACGCAUAGAUAUGGUAUGUACUGCACGCAUGGACGUGGGGUUUCUCGACAUUCGGGCCCAUUCUCUUGCCAAUGAUACGGCACCACGGGGUGUGGCAGAGCCGUAAUUGCCAGUCGCCUGGCAUACGUGAUGUAUGCCAGACCAGGCCAUGGCAGGAGGGAUCAUCGCAUUGGACCCCACAUGACACGAACUGAUAAGUCACUUACAUCAGAUUUUCUUGGUGCGGAAAUGCCGUCCAGCACUUUCUUCACAACUUCGAAAACCUCCCCUGGUGGCGGAACGGCGCUGAUGAUGUGGCACUUGCCCUGAGCCAGGUAAUGGUCCUUGACAGGAAGCGACUGCUCCAGGAAUGUAUGGAAGCGCUUGCGGAUAGUCUCAGCGUUGUCAUCGCUACGGCCGCUGGUCUCACCGCGCUUCAGCAGCCGCUUCUCCAUCUCCUCCUCAGGGCAGUCAAAGAACAGCACGGCCUUGCAUGGCAUGAUGUUGCCCUCAAACUGCUCCGCCUGGUCCAGGGCGCGUGGGAAGCCGUCGAUGAGGAAGAACUUGCCGCCACUCUCAAUCAUGGCCUUCUUCAGCAGGUUCAGCGUCACAGCGAAAGGCACCAGCUUGCCUUCGCGCAUCAGCUCCUCGCACUUCCUGCCCACGACGCUGCCGCUCUUGACCUCGGCACGAAGCAAAUCACCAGCGCUGAGGUGCACGCAUUCGUACUCCUCAAGGAUUUGCGCACACUGCGUGCCUUUGCCGCUGCCUGGCCCACCAAGCACGAAGAUGAUUUGAGCAUCAUCCGGCAGGCUGCCAUGUACUGGGGGCAGCGCGAAGUCCUGUUGACCCAUGGGACAGUCACGCACGAAUGAACAGUGCGCAUUCAUGGCGUUGCAAACAAUCACGACAGUAGUGGACUAGCCCAUGGCAUUGCCUCUCCGUGGCAAGCAGCCCGACAGCAUGUAAAACAUGACCAUAUCCUUCCCUAGCACAGAUUACGAGAGGAUGUCGAUGCCGCGUCAACCCGACGCAAACAAAUUUCGGCCACAGUACUCCGAGAAGCCGGCUGUAGGUCAUGGGUUUGAAAACUUUUGCAAAUACCGUUACGCUAAUGCUUUAUGCUUUACUCGCCGGUGCCAGGCGCUAGCAUGCCCGAAGACUCUUCUACCGGCUUGUUGCCGAGAAUGUAUCGGCAUGGCAGACAGGGUAUUGCAUCUAAUUUAUCAAAGGCUUCCGAUAGUAGGGCAUGGGAGAAAACUACAAGAACCUGUAGUUGUCCCCUCUGAGACUGGUCCUGAGCUCCCUAGCACAUUAGGUAGUCCACCCAAACAAUACUUUGGAGCGAGGGCUUUGCAGCCAUAGAGGAAACGCGAAGGAAACGUACAAGUACACGUCAAGUGGCGCAAAACCCCAAACAGGUCAGCCUGCCUUCAACCAUGCCCAAUGGAAAGCCGUCGUCUACAACAGUAGUAAUAACCUCAAUCGAGUGCCUCUCCAUUAACAGCUCACCUCCGAAGGAACUGCUGCUCUUGGGGAAUCUGCUUUCGCGGCUUGCUUCUUUGGCGCAUCGAGUUUGUCCAAAAUAUUCGUCACGCUUUCGUACACCACGUCGGGGUGUGGAACAGCGCUGACAACGUGGCACUUGCCCUGAGCCAGGUAAUGGUCCUUCACAGGAAGCGACUGCUCCAGAAACGUCUUGAAGCGCUUGCGGAUAGUCUCAGCGUUGUCAUCGCUACGGCCGCUGGUCUCACCGCGCUUCAGCAGCCGCUUCUCCAUCUCCUCCUCAGGGCAGUCAAAGAACAGCACGGCCUUGCAUGGCAUGAUGUUGCUCUCAAACUGCUCCGCCUGGUCCAGGGCGCGUGGGAAGCCGUCGAUGAGGAAGAACUUGCCGCCGCUCUCAAUCAUGGCCUUCUUCAGCAGGUUCAGCGUCACGGCGAAAGGCACCAGCUUGCCUUCGCGCAUCAGCUCCUCACAUUUGCUGCCCACGGCACUACCGCUCUUGACCUCGGCGCGCAGCAAG
rnacentral:lncRNA from 1 species